UACAGAGGUCUCAAGCGUUGUUCGGAUUCAUUGGGCGUAAAGGGUGCGUAGGUGGCGGGGUAAGUCAGGUGUGAAAUCUCGAGGCUCAACCUCGAAACUGCACUUGAUACUGCCUUGCUCGAGUACUGGAGAGGAGAUUGGAAUUUACGGUGUAGCAGUGAAAUGCGUAGAUAUCGUAAGGAAGACCAGUGGCGAAGGCGAAUCUCUGGACAGUUACUGACACUGAGCACGAAGGCCAGGGGAGCAAACGGG
rnacentral:rRNA from 1 species